rnacentral:lncRNA from 1 species
CAGCUAGCAAGAAGAGGAUUCAAGGCUGAGAAGCAUUGCCCCUCUAGACUUUGGAGGGCCAAUUUGCCAGAGGGGAUAAGUUGCAGAGUUUCCUGUUCACUCACUACUCUGCUUGAUACCUUUACCAUUCCUUCCCUAUUUGAACCCCAAUAAAUCACCUGUUACUUUAGAUUUAGGUCUGGUCCAUUUCUAAAAAUAAUAAAGAGGAUUGGAGAUUUUGGGAGGGUCACACCUCUCCCCAAAAAGGGGGGCUAACCUCUGGAUCCCAGUGAUCUAAGACUGCCAGACCCAAGGAAUAGACAUCUCUCUUUGGCAGUGGAAUAGCCCCAAGAUCCUGAAGGGGACUGACAGUUGGUGUCCCUCAGGAAAACAGAGGCAUAAAAAUUCAUCUAGCCUCUCAAGAAUUGAUUGGCCCUCAUAUUACUAAGGCUCCCCACUCUAAUCUCUUGUUCUCCAUCUUCCAGAAACAUUCUCUGAGGAGACAUAUUUCCUCCUCCAAGGAGACAGGACUUGGCUCUCUCCCCCCAAAGGGAAGAGAGGGGAAGAACAAUCUCUUCACCCUUUCAACCCCAUUCCCUCCCUCUUUCUCCAUCAUCCUUAUUCACUUUUAAGCCCUAUAUUACACUUCAGAUCAGUUUUUACGCACAAUUCAUCAUCAGACAUCCUGCAGUCUAAUUAUAUCCAUCUUGCAAAUCUUUAUUGUCCUUAAGAGUUUAACAUAAUUUUUAUUCUUUGUGGAAUUCCAUGAUUUGCAAGCACACAGCUUCUCUGGAAUUUGUGUUAAGAUUUGUGUUAAGACAUUGGGUCUCUGCACUGAGGUUAACUUUGAAAACAUUAAAAAACAACCUACUAUUUCCCAAAUACAAUCCAACAAACUCUUUUUCUCUUUUUAAAUUCCAGCCCCAAGGCACUGUCCAUCAGAAGCUCCUGAAAGAGAUAAAGGGGAAAGGUAUUGACUUGUGAUUUCUUUGGUAUGGAGAUCUAGUAUGUAAAUUGCCUCCACUGAUGCAGAAGAGGAAUUUGUAACUUGCUUCUUAAAAUAAUUACCUAAAACACCAAGAGGAUGAGAUUUGCCUAUAGACACCUAAAUCAUAUUUAUUAAAGGUAAUUUUUCUGUCUCCCAAGCUAUGCCUUCAUUCAAAACCCUAUAUUUCCUGGUUUUUUUAAAAAAAGAAUUAAGAUUAAAGAAGAAAAAAAGAAAGGGAAAAACCAAACUGUGGUAGAAAAUAUAUUCCUAAUGGUAAAGCAAUGGUUCAAUAAAUUGUGAUACUUGAAUGUAAUUGAAUUCCA